ensembl:lncRNA
GGGAUUAAAGGCAUGCGACACCAAUGCCCCGUACACUUUUAGAUCUUUACAUAAGUGAAAGACCCAUCCAAGAAUGGUCAAAGCUUUUCUGUGUUCCAACUCUACUUGGAACAGCCCCGGUGACUACCUAGAGAAUGGAGAAUUCUCCUGAUAGAAUCAGCUGGUGGAAUAUGACUCAGCAACAAAAGAGGCCAACUACCAAACACGAGCCACAACAUGAAUGAAUGUCCUAUGUGACUUAAAGAGGCACAGAGUCAACUCUACCCUGAGUCAAUUUCUGUGAAGACCCGAAACAAAUGAAACUAAUGUGGGGCGACAAGAUUAGAGCAACCUGGAAGGAGGAACGUUCUGGAGAGUUCGUAAUGUCUCUUGAUAGGAGUUUCAGUGACAUGGGUACAGGUGUCUGUUGCCUAAUGUGGAAAUAAGGUCUGUGCACUUCUUGUAUGUGAUUUUUAACCUUAGAAACAGUCUACAGAAAGGACUGGGGUUUGGUUCAGUGGCGGGGUGUUAGGAUAUGCGAGGCCCUGGGCUCUUUCCACACACGCAUACAUACUGCCAUUGUGUCGGGAAGUGAUUAGAAACAACAUACAUUGAUGUCUGUAACUUUCUUUGAAACACAUUCUCCCCACCCCCACACACAUAAUAAAUCAAUACUAAUUUUUAAAGGAGAAAAAAGGUACAAGGGAACUCCAAAGAUGGUCCUUCUCCUCUUCCAUCCCCAGCGUCUGUCCGAACUGGUUCAUUUCAUCCACCUGGACCACCUUUCAGACUCUCCCUCAACCCCAUAUAGACAUCCAACUAAUGGCCACUCUGCUCUCUCUUCCUCCACCCACUUCAGCCACGGUCCCAAAGAGCUGCACAACCAGCCUGGCCUGCCCACCUUCAGGCCAUUAGAAACAAGCUCAAUCUUAUUUCUGUGCUGCAGAUGACUUGAAGGCAAUACCUGGGAUCUGUUUGCCUCAAAGUGCUUGGCGGAACACAGAUUCUACAUAAAUUCUCGCAGGAGUGAGGGCACUCGAUGACAGCCAGAGGCACAGACACAGAAAACAGAAGACGCAGCCUGAGCGCCAGCCUGGAUAAGAAGGAGGUAUGGAGCCCAGCCUGUGAGGUCAUGGGAAGGAAGGGCAGGGGGAGAGAAAGCGAGAGGAGGUGAGGGCGAAAUUUCCUGCUCUUCUGUUUGUGAGCUCACCAGCCCUCUGGGUCAGGGAUGCAACUGGAGCUCAUCUAGGGGCUUUCCUCCUCUUUUUGUAAUAGUUCACAACCCAGGCCUGGGCCGUGGCGGCGCACACCUUUAAUCCCAGCAUGCAGGAGGCAGAGGCAGGCGGAUCUCUGUGAGUUCAAGGCCAGCCUGGUCUACAGAGCAGUUUCAGCACAGCCCAGGCUACACAGAGAAACCCUGUCUCAAAAGAAAAAAAAAAAGAUACAAUCCAUAUUCCAUUCAGUUCACACAUUGAAAGUAUUCAGUAGGGACUGAGGAGAUGGCUUGGUGGGUAAAGUGGUUGCUGUGUAAACAUGAGAACCUGAGUUUGGAUCCCCAGAACUCACAUGCUCCUAUAAUCCCAACUCUGGGACGUGGAGAUGGGAGCACCCCUAGGGCUUUCUGGCCAGUCAUUCUAGCCUAUCAGAGACUCCAGGUUCAGUGAGAGACUCUGCCCUUAAACAUAAGGAAGAAUGCAAUAGAAGACACUGACAUUGACCUCUGACCUCCACAUGUGCAAGUGCUCUCCCAUACACAGGUGCAUACACAGCAGAGCAUACUAUAGAACGUCUUUAGUAUAGUAACAGAUUGUAAAUCACUCCUGAAGUCAAUCUGAUUUAUGCAUUUAUUUUAGGCAGAGUUCAGACCUAGGCUAGGCCCUGAAACCUUAUGGUGAUGACAAGAUUCCUAUCACCCGGCAUCCAUCCCCUAUGUGCCAGGAUUUAGGUUAUACAUAACCACAUUUAGCCCUGUGAUCAAUUUUUAGAAUAAUUUUAUUAUGUCAAAAAGAAAUCUUUACCAGGGUGUGGCAGCUCACAUCAUUAAUCCCAGCACUUGGGAAGCUGAGGCAGGAAGAGAGUCACAAGUCUGAGGCUAGGUAGUCUUAGGCUAUAUAGUGAGUUCAAGGCCAGCCUGUGCUAUAUAUCAAGACUUCUGUCCCAGGAGAGGAAGUGGAAGAGGAGGAAGAUGAAGAAGAAAUAAUUCAUUGUAUAUACUUUAUAUAAAUGGAAUUAGAAACUGAGUCUCAUCGCUCAGGUUUAUUAAACACAGCUACUCAAAAGUCUUAGGCAGAAGAAUGCAACGUUCAAGGCCUGACUAAGUGGCAUGUGAGUUCUAGGCCACCCAGGCCAACUUAGUAAGACUCUGUCUCAAAAUGAAAAAUGGAAUGGGUUGUAGUUCAGUGGUAGGAUGUAUGAGGUUCUAGAAUGUAUGCAGUUUUAUUUGGUACCAGGGAUUAUAAAUAGGGCUGGGGGAUACAGCUUCGUGGUAGAGUACUUGGCCAGUGUCUCACUUACUUUUCUAACCCUGUGACAAAAUGCCAUGACCAAGGCAACUUAUAAAAGAAAGAGUUUGAGUUUACAGUUUCAGAGGCCUAGAAUCCAUGAUGACAGAGCACAGCCAUGGCAACAAGAACAGCUAAGUGCUCACAUCUUCCCACGUGUAGGAGAUAAAGAGAGAACACUGGAAACGCCCGAGUCUAAUGCCCUAGUGAAGCCACAUCUCCUCCAAUAAGGCCACACCUCCUCCAACAAAGCCACACCUCCUAAUCCUUCCCAAACAGUUCCACCAACAGGGACCAAGCAAGUAUUCAAACAUCUGAGCCUAUGGGAGUCAUUCUCAUUCAAACCAUCACAACCAGCAUGUGCAAGGCCCUGAGUUCAUUCUCCAGCACACAGCAUACACAAACAGGAUUCUCUGGUAAUAGGAUACAUGGUCUUCUUGCUUAGCAAGUUUUCAAGGUUCAUGGGGGGCUGGGUCAGGUCAGUACUUCACUCAUUUUUAUUGCUGAAUAAGAGUCCAUUGUACACAUACAUUGUUUUUAUUUGCCAUCCAUCAGUUGAUAGAUAUUUAGGAUAGUUUGAAUAAUAUACUUCUGUAAACAUUCUUGUAGGAGUGUUUGUAUUGUGUAUGUUUUUAAUUUUCCUAAAUACACACCUCUGGGUGGAGUUCCUGGGUCACAUGGUAACCCUGAUCAGGGUAGUUUGGGAUUUUAAGUAUAUAUCUGGGCUAGUGAAAUGGCUUCCCUAAUGGGCCUCCACAGAGCCCUGAUCAAGGCUACUGUAGUAUUCCUCUCUUUGAAGAGGUAACUGUACAAUCACAGGAGAUGGACUGAAAUUGGGAAAUAGAUGUAGCCCGUUUUUACCAUAGAAAUACAGAGAGAUUAUGUUCUCAGGCAGCUGCAUCUUUUUUUAUUCCCAUAUCACCAACAGCUGUUACUGUCUGCUGGGAUCCCAUUACAGUUUUGAUUUGGAUUUCAGUGAGAGCUGGGUGAUGUUGUGCCUUGUCAUGUGCUUAUUGUCACACGCUUAUCAAAUAAGAUAUUUGUAUAUCUUGUUUGAGAAAAUGUCUACUGAAGUCCUCUACACAUUAUUACAUUGAGUUGUCCUGACUUUUUUUUUUUUAUUUACUGUGUGUGCGUGCAUUCGUGAGUGUGUGUGUGUGUGUGUGUGUGUGUGUGUGUGUGUGUGUGUGUAUGUGAAUGUGUGUGUGUACCCGUGUGUUUGUGUGUGUGUGUGUGUGUGUGUGUGUGUGUGUGUGUGUGUGUGUGUUCAGGUGAAGGC